GCCAGCAUGGUGCAGUGGUUUGAGCAUUGGACUAUGACUCUGGAGACCAGGGUUCAAUUCCCCGCUUAGCCA